CCUACGGGAGGCAGCAGUGGGGAAUCUUGCGCAAUGGGCGAAAGCCUGACGCAGCCAUGCCGCGUGAAUGAUGAAGGUCUUAGGAUUGUAAAAUUCUUUCAGUAGGGACGAUAAUGACGGUACCUACAGAAGAAGCCCCGGCUAACUUCGUGCCAGCAGCCGCGGUAAUACGAAGGGGGCUAGCGUUGCUCGGAAUUACUGGGCGUAAAGGGAGCGUAGGCGGGUUAUCAAGUUGGAGGUGAAAGCCCAGGGCUCAACCUUGGAAUAGCCUUCAAAACUGAUAACCUAGAGGAUGGAAGAGGUAAGUGGAACUCCGAGUGUAGAGGUGAAAUUCGUAGAUAUUCGGAAGAACACCAGUGGCGAAGGCGACUUACUGGUCCAUUACUGACGCUGAGGCUCGAAAGCGUGGGGAGCAAACAGGAUUAGAUACCCUGGUAGUCCACGCUGUAAACGAUGAUUGCUAGUUGUCGGCAGCAUGCUGUCGGUGACGCAGCUACGACAUAAGUACAACUCCGCCGUCGGGGUAGGUACGGUCGGCGAAGAAUUAAAACUUAACAAAUAGAAGUUAGACGGCGUGAGACGUGCCGAACGGACGACGACGAGGGAGGUAGG
rnacentral:rRNA from 1 species